CACGUAGGGGGCAAGCGUUGUCCGGAUUUAUUGGGCGUAAAGAGCUCGUAGGUGGUUCGGUAAGUCGGGUGUUAAACCCCCAGGCUCAACCUGGGGACGCCACUCGAUACUGCUGUGACUUGAGUCCGGUAGGGGAGCGUGGAAUUCCUGGUGUAGCGGUGAAAUGCGCAGAUAUCAGGAGGAACACCAGCGGCGAAGGCGGCGCUCUGGGCCGGUACUGACACUGAGGAACGAAAGCGUGGGGAGCAAACAGG
rnacentral:rRNA from 1 species